GACGAACGCUGGCGGCGUGCUUAAUACAUGCAAGUCAACUGAACUUAAGGUAGUAAUACUUUAAGGGAGGUGGCGCACGGGUGAGUAACACGUAGGUAAUCUGCCUUUAGGUCUGACAUAAUUCCGCGAAAGCGGGACUAACUUCAGAUGAUGCAGCGGCUCGACAUCGAGACAGUUGUUAAAUCUUCGGAGCCUAAAGAUGAGCCUGCGUCUGAUUAGGUAGNGGCGGAGUAAAAGCCCACCAAGCCUGCGAUCAGUAGCUGGUCUGAGAGGAUGAUCAGCCACACUGGAACUGAGACACGGUCCAGACUCCUACGGGAGGCAGCAGUAAGGAAUAUUGCUCAAUGGCCGAAAGGCUGAAGCAGCAACGCCGCGUGGAGGAUGAAAUACUUUUGUAUGUAAACUCCUGUAAGAAGGGAAAAUAUUUCGA
rnacentral:rRNA from 1 species